GCCCAGGGCUCAGUGGUUAGAGCGGUGGACUUCUGAUCAACGGGUUGCGGGUUCGAGCCCCGGGUGGGGCA
rnacentral:tRNA from 1 species